rnacentral:lncRNA from 1 species
CCUAGGUGCAAUGCCAUGUUCUCAUAGUGAAGUUUAUGAUAGUGAAUUUUUAUCUUUCAGGAUCCAGGUUUCAAAAAACCCCAAAAGUGGUCUUUCAAGAGUAUGAGAAGAUGUGUGUGGAGCUGGGAAAUUAGAUGCAGACUGACCUUUUGCUCCAAAAUUUAAAAUCAAAAUGCAGCUCCUCUCUGUGGACACGGAUGGAUCCAGAAUGGAAGAUAAGGUAUCCUGCAGGUUGGGUGGAGGAACCACAAAGCUCAGAAGUGGCUGGCAUCACUUGAUCUCUCACAUAACCGGAAGGGCAGACUAUCUGAAGGAAGAUCUUUGUGCAAUCUGCUCCUCAGAACAGAUAACAGGUAUUUUCUACAAU